CAGUUUAUAAACCAAACCGCUAAGCACCCUUUUCUAGGUGAUAUCAUUGGUUUAUGCAAUCGGGAUGAACUAAAUCUAGAGAACUUAAUGCAAAACAAAAAAAAAGUAAAAAUUAUUGUGUUGAAAAAUAUAAUUCUUAAAAAAGGUCUUCAAAGGUUAAGCUAUGCAAUUGAGUUCUGGAACUUAUUGGAGCAAAAAAUACUUUCAAAGAUAUUCUUGAAAUUUAAAUGUUUUCAAUCAGAUUAUUAUAAACCUUAAUGUUUGGGUUAAGGUUAUCUAAGUAAAGCCAUGAUCCAAGCAAGCAUUGUAAACUUCAAAAUAGGAACCGCAGUUGUAAUUGAAAACUUGCAAAAUUGGUACUGUACAUGUUUUGGCUUGCAAAGCUGCUCAGUU